UACACGCCUUGUAGUUGUCCAGCUUCGAAACUGAAGAAAGAGCCUGGAGACAGAGGCGUCAGUAGUUUAUUUGACAGGGGAUCAUACACAAAGGGUCCUGGAACCACACCUUGCCAAACAGAUGCUUGCAGGACAUUGCAACAGUCUUUACUACCCAAGGGAGAAGGCGACCGUUUGCAGGAGGGAAUUGGCAUCAGGUGGGCUCAUCAGUUACCAGGGACUAAUUAAGCCCUCUAAUUAAGAGGAUUGGAUAGUCAUGUGAGUGAAGCAGGGACCAGAUAUACAGCAGCAGAUAUACAGAGAAAGACUAGCCACCGUGAGCGGCCUAACCACACAAGGCUAUGCACACACUUGCUCCCAGGCUUGGGAGCUCUUAGAAGGCAAAGCCCUACAUGUUGGUCUCUUCUCUGUGGAUGUUAAUCUGAAUCCAAUCUGCCUCCUCAAGGCCCAGAUAGGAAGGAGACACAGGCCCAGAGAGGUGACAUCUCCGGCCUGAGUUCGCACAGAAGUCACUAAAGGGGCCAGAGCUGGAUCCUUGGGUCACCUGGGUCCCUGAACCGUGCUCUGUCCUGCCAUCUCCCCCUGUCAGGGCUUCUGGCCCUGUGGCUCUAUCAUCCGUUAAUCAGUGGUGAUACCCGGGUCCAGCUCCUCCCUCACACCAGGACAGGCAAGGACACUGGGCAAGUCUGUCCACCAGAGGCAGGAGGGGCUGUGACAUGUCAAUGGGCCCCUCCUCCAAGGCAAAGUACCCACUGAUGCUCAGUAAGGGUUACCCGAUGGUGGCU
ensembl:lncRNA